rnacentral:snRNA from 1 species
AUAAAUUCCUCCAUUAUGGCUAAGAUCGAAAUGUAAUAUCUGUUCCUAUCAGCUUAACAUCUUAUACAUCCUCCAUCGGGACACAACAAAUGUUAAAGUGAUCUUUGAAAUCAGACGGAGAGUUCAGCGGCUUGAUCCACCCCUGUCGCGGGUCUGUCUAAUAAAAUCAAAAAUAAGGCUGGUCUCCAUCACU